rnacentral:rRNA from 1 species
AAUGAACGCUGGCGGCGCGCCUAAUACAUGCAAGUCGAGCGAGAAGACGUAGCAAUACGUUUGUAAAGACGGCGAACGGGUAGAGGAGUACAUGGGUAACCUACCCUCGAGUGGGGAAGUAACUAGCCGAAAGGUUAGCUAAUACCGCGUACGCUUCUUGGACUUCGGUUCAGGGAGGAAAGCGAUGCCGAGGGUAUCGCGCUCUUGGAUGGGCUCAUGUCCUAUCAGC